rnacentral:rRNA from 1 species
GAUGAACGCUAGCUACAGGCUUAACACAUGCAAGUCGAGGGGCAGCAUGGUCUUAGCUUGCUAAGGCCGAUGGCGACCGGCGCACGGGUGAGUAACACGUAUCCAACCUGCCGUCUACUCUUGGACAGCCUUCUGAAAGGAAGAUUAAUACAAGAUGGCAUCAUGAGUCCGCAUGUUCACAUGAUUAAAGGUAUUCCGGUAGACGAUGGGGAUGCGUUCCAUUAGAUAGUAGGCGGGGUAACGGCCCACCUAGUCUUCGAUGGAUAGGGGUUCUGAGAGGAAGGUCCCCCACAUUGGAACUGAGACACGGUCCAAACGCCUACGGGAGGCAGCAGUGAGGAAUAUUGGUCAAUGGGCGAGAGCCUGAACCAGCCAAGUAGCGUGAAGGAUGACUGCCCUAUGGGUUGUAAACUUCUUUUAUAAAGGAAUAAAGUCGGGUAUGGAUACCCGUUUGCAUGUACUUUAUGAAUAAGGAUCGGCUAACUCCGUGCCAGCAGCCGCCGUAACAC